UCAGGAUGAACGCUAGCGACAGGCUUAACACAUGCAAGUCGAGGGGCAUCACGGGAGUAGCAAUACAACGUGGUGGGCGACCGGCGCGACGGGUGAGUAACGCGUAUGCAACCUACCUAUCAGAGGGGAAUAACCCGGCGAAAGUCGGACUAAUACCGCAUAAACAGGGGCACCGCAUGGUGAUAUUUGUUAAAGAAAUUCGCUGAUAGAUGGGCAUGCGUUCCAUUAGGUAGUUGGUGAGGUAACGGCUCACCAAGCCGACGAUGGAUAGGGAACUGAGAGGUUGGUCCCCCACACUGGUACUGAGACACGGACCAGACUCCUACGGGAGGCAGCAGUGAGGAAUAUUGGUCAAUGGGCGGGAGCCUGAACCAGCCAAGUCGCGUGAAGGAAGAAGGAUCUAUGGUUCGUAAACUUCUUUUGCAGGGGAAUAAAGUGCAGGACGUGUCCUGUUUUGUAUGUACCCUGAGAAUAAGGAUCGGCUAACUCCGUGCCAGCCGCCGC
rnacentral:rRNA from 1 species